rnacentral:rRNA from 1 species
CCUACGGGCGGCAGCAGUAGGGAAUAUUGCUCAAUGGGGGAAACCCUGAAGCAGCAACGCCGCGUGGGGGAUGAAGGUCUUCGGAUUGUAAACCCCUUUUGUUAGAGAAGAAAAUGACGGUAUCUAACGAAUAAGCACCGGCUAACUCCGUGCCAGCAGCCGCGGUAAUACGGAGGGGGCAAGCGUUACUCGGAAUCACUGGGCGUAACGAGCGCGUAGGCGGGAUAGCAAGUCAGAUGUGAAAUCCUAUGGCUUAACCAUAGAACUGCAUUUGAAACUGUUAUGCUAGAGUAUGGGAGAGGUAGGUGGAAUGCUUGGUGUAGGGGUGAAAUCCGUAGAGAUCAAGAGGAAUACUCAUUGCGAAGGCGGCCUGCUGGACCAUAACUGACGCUGAUGCGCGAAAGCGUGGGGAGCAAACAGGAUUAGAUACCCUUGUAGUC